rnacentral:rRNA from 1 species
GAUGAACGCUGGCGGCGUGCCUAAUACAUGCAAGUCGAGCGAACAGACGAGGAGCUUGCUCCUCUGACGUUAGCGGCGGACGGGUGAGUAACACGUGGAUAACCUACCUAUAAGACUGGGAUAACUUCGGGAAACCGGAGCUAAUACCGGAUAAUAUAUUGAACCGCAUGGUUCAAUAGUGAAAGACGGUUUUGCUGUCACUUAUAGCUGGAUCCGCGCCGCAUUAGCUAGUUGGUAAGGUAAAGGCUUACCAAGGCAACGAUGCGUAGCCGACCUGAGAGGGGGAUCGGCCACCCUGGAACGUAGACACGGUCCAGACGCCUACGGGAGGCAGCAGUAGGGAAUCGUCCGCAAUGGGCGAAAGCCUGACGGAGCAACGCCGCGCGAGUGAUGAAGGUCUUCGGAUCGUAAAACUCUGUUAUUAGGGAAGAACAAAUGUGUAAGUAACUAUGCACGUCUUGACGGUACCUAAUCAGAAAGCAACGGCUAACUACGUG